GUCGAAGUGGCGGAACUGGCAGACGCGCUGGCCUUAGAAGCCAGUGGGGUAAAACCCGUGAGAGUUCAAAUCUCUCCUUCGACA
rnacentral:tRNA from 1 species